rnacentral:rRNA from 1 species
GAUGAACGCUGGCGGCGUGCCUAAUACAUGCAAGUCGAGCGAACGGACGAGAAGCUUGCUUUUCUGAUGUUAGCGGCGGACGGGUGAGUAACACGUGGAUAACCUACCUAUAAGACUGGGAUAACUUCGGGAAACCGGAGCUAAUACCGGAUAAUAUUUUGAACCGCAUGGUUCAAAAGUGAAAGACGGUCUUGCUGUCACUUAUAGAUGGAUCCGCGCUGCAUUAGCUAGUUGGUAAGGUAACGGCUUACCAAGGCAACGAUGCAUAGCCGACCCGAGAGGGUGAUCGGCCACACUGGAACUGAGACACGGUCCAGACUCCUACGGGAGGCAGCAGUAGGGAAUCUUCCGCAAGGGGCGAAAGCCUGACGGAGCAACGCCGCGUGAGUGAUGAAGGUCUUCGGAUCGUAAAACUCUGUUAUUAGGGAAGAACAUAUGUGUAAGUAACUGUGCACAUCUUGACGGUACCUAAUCAGAAAGCCACGGCUAACUACGU